UGCAGUUAAGAGCCCAAGUAUCAGAGAUGGAAGGGUCGAGGGGUGGUUCCAGUGUUCGACAUCUUGCAUCACAACAUUUCCCCAAUGUAACCAAUGGACAUCAAUGUUUACGGAUCGAAGAUGAAGUUUUCCUCAAAAGCAUUUUAAACUCUACCGAGACUACAGCAAGAGGAAGGGUCCUAAGCUUGGACCCAAAUGAUCUAGUUGGUGGUACAGAGAUUGGACCAGAAUAGUGUGAGGUAAACGUUCAAGUACCAAUAAAAAAGAUGAAAACUUGGUAAGACCAUAUGGUUUAUUUUCUACAAUUCAAGAUUGUAUUGGUGCAUCCAUCGCAUGGCCCUAUCCAUUCAUCUCAGUAGUCCAUGAGGAUUGAGGACACAUGAUGACUCAAGAUUUUAUGCUUCUUAUUUCUUUAAUUGCUUUUAAUUUCUUUGUUAAAUGUUAAGACUUUAUGUUAGAUAAUGUUAUAACUUAUUAAUGGUUAGUGUUUUUGUUAUGAACAUGCUUAUUUGAAAUAUAAUGAAGUUUUACUUCUUUCAUUAGUUGAUG